rnacentral:lncRNA from 1 species
AUGGCCCUGACCCAGUGUCCCUUUCUCUGCCCCCCCUUUCUCCCCACAGCGCAGCCUCCAGCUGUUUGCCAGCGUCCUUUCCAAAGUGCUGGCAAUGGUGGUGAUGCCCCAUUUUCAGUCACUACCAGUGACGUGAGCAGCUGGCAACUCCAGCUCAGUCCCCCAAGUUAAAGUGAAAUCCCAAGUUGGCUGCCAGGGACAGGGGAGCCCUGCAAUCUGGUGGGCAGGGCCAACUUCCAGGAGAAGUAAGGGGCUCUCCUGCCUCCUCCCACGGCGCCCGCCACUGCAGGGCUCACAGGUGUCGAGCCCUGUCCUCACCACAGUCCCUGGACAGGCAGAGCAGUGGGCACAGGGCCUGGGGCAGCAGAGGAGAGAGCCCAAGAGGAGACGUUAGGGCCAGAGCUGCUCUACCCGCGUGGGACAGCCCUAGUCACUCAUCCUUGGCUGCCCCCUGGCCUGGUACAAGCCGGAAUUCCUAGCCCUGCCCGUCACAGGAGCAGGUAUGACAGCCAUGUGGGUGACACUGGGCCUAGGCACUUGAACACUUGACUCCACUGGGGCAGGCAGGCAACAGGCAUACUGGCUGCGGGCCUCCUGGGGAGCCCUCUGUCCCCCAGGCUCCUGCCCUGCCAUGGCCCGGGAAGCAGGCCAGGCCCAUGCCAGGUCCGCCCUGCCCAGGGGGAGGAAAGGCUCUGUGUUCUUUGCUUGCAUCUCAGUGGUGACUGCCAGACGGUGGGCUGUUGCCCGCCAUGCCACCGUCCAAACCCCCAUGCCUUGGCCGAC